GAUGAACGCUAGCGGUGUGCCUAAUGCAUGCAAGUCGAACGGGAUCCUUUGGAUUCGUCUGAAGGUGAGAGUGGCGAACGGGUGAGUAACACGUAGGUGACCUGCCCCGGAGAGGGGGACAACCACUGGAAACGGUGGCUAAUACCCCAGAUGUUAUUGCGCUUAGAAAGCAAUUACUAAAGUUCCGGCGCUCCGGGAGGGGCCUGCGGCCCAUCAGCUUGUUGGUAAGGUAAUGGCUUACCAAGGCUAAGACGGGUAGGGGGCGUGAGAGCGUGACCCCCCACACUGGUACUGAGACACGGACCAGAUACCUGCGGGUAGGCAGCAGCAAGGAAUAUUGCCCAAUGGACGAAAGUCUGAGGCAGCAACACCGCGUGGAGGAUGAAGGCCUUCGGUUGUAACUACCUUUCUUGGGGAAGGAG
rnacentral:rRNA from 1 species